rnacentral:rRNA from 1 species
UACGUAGGGUGCGAGCGUUAAUCGGAAUUACUGGGCGUAAAGCGUGCGCAGGCGGCGCGUUAAGACAGGUGUGAAAGCCCCGAGCUUAACUUGGGAAUUGCGCUUGUGACUGGCGUGCUGGAGUGUGGCAGAGGGAGGUGGAAUUCCUGGUGUAGCGGUGGAAUGCGCAGAUAUCAGGAGGAACACCAAUAGCGAAGGCAGCUCGCUGGGACGGUACUGACGCUAAGGCGCGAAAGCGUGGGGAGCGAACAGG